rnacentral:rRNA from 1 species
GACGAACGCUGGCGGCGUGCUUAACACAUGCCAGUCGAACGGAAAGGCCCUGCUUGCAGGGUACUCGAGUGGCGAACGGGUGAGUAACACGUGGGUGAUCUGCCCUGCACUUCGGGAUAAGCCUGGGAAACUGGGUCUAAUACCGGAUAGGAGCCAUUUUUAGUGUGAUGGUUGGAAAGUUUUUUCGGUGUAGGAUGAGCUCGCGGCCUAUCAGCUUGUUGGUGGGGUAAUGGCCUACCAAGGCGGCGACGGGUAGCCGGCCUGAGAGGGUGGACGGCCACAUUGGGACUGAGAUACGGCCCAGACUCCUACGGGAGGCAGCAGUGGGGAAUAUUGCACAAUGGGCGCAAGCCUGAUGCAGCGACGCCGCGUGGGGGAUGACGGCCUUCGGGUUGGAAACUCCGUUCGCUAGGGACGAAGCUUUUUGUGACGGUACCUAGAUAAGAAGCACCGGCUAACUACGUG